rnacentral:rRNA from 1 species
UACGUAGGGUGCGAGCGUUGUCCGGAAUUAUUGGGCGUAAAGGGCUCGUAGGCGGUUUGUCGCGUCGGGAGUGAAAACUCAGGGCUUAACCCUGAGCCUGCUUCCGAUACGGGCAGACUAGAGGUAUGCAGGGGAGAACGGAAUUCCUGGUGUAGCGGUGAAAUGCGCAGGAUAUCAGGAGGAACACCGGUGGCGAAGGCGGUUCUCUGGGCAUUACCUGACGCUGAGGAGCGAAAGUGUGGGGAGCGAACAGG